rnacentral:rRNA from 1 species
UACGUAGGAGGCGAGCGUUGUCCGGAUUUACUGGGCGUAAAGGGUGCGUAGGCGGCCGCGCGCGUGGAGGGUGAAAUCUCUCGGCUUACCCGGGAGGGGGCUUUCCAGACGGCGUGGCUUGAGGGACGGAGAGGGGCGUGGAAUUCCGGGUGGAGCGGUGAAAUGCGUAGAUAUCUGCAGGAACACCCGUGGCGAAAGCGGCGCGCUGGACCACUACUGACGCUGAGGAACGAAAGCUAGGGGAGCAAACAGG